rnacentral:rRNA from 1 species
AGUUACUUGACGUAGACCCGAAACCGGGCGACCUACCCAUGAGCAGGAUGAAGCGAAAGUAAAAUUUCGUGGAGGUCCGAACCCACGAGCGUUGAAAAGCUCGGGGAUGACUUGUGGGUAGCGGUGAAAUUCCAAUCGAGCCCGGAGAUAGCUGGUUCUCCCCGAAAUAGCUUUAGGGCUAGCCUCAAGGUGAGAGAUACGGAGGUAGAGCACUGAAUGUCCUAGGGGGUAUUGCACCUACCGAAGACUAUCAAACUCCGAAUGCCGUCAUCUUAUACUUGGGAGUCAGACUGUGGGUGAUAAGAUUCAUAGUCGAAAGGGCAACAGCCCAGAUCGUCAGCUAAGGUCCCUAAAUGUAAGUUAAGUGGUAAAGGAUGUGGGAUUGCACAGACAACCAGGAUGUUGGCUUAGAAGCAGCCACUCAUUCAAAGAGUGCGUAAUAGCUCACUGGUCGAGUGAUCCUGCGCCGAAGAUUUCCGGGGCUAAAACUUACUACCGAAGCUACGGCAUCAGUAAUGAUGGGUAGGGGAGCUUCCCAUACGGGUUGAAGCAUGACCGUAAGGACAUGUGGACAGUAUGGGAGUGAGAAUGUUGGCAUGAGUAGCGAGAUGUGGGUGAGAAUCCCACAGGCCGUAAACCCAAGGUUUCCAGGGGAAGGUUCGUCCGCCCUGGGUUAGUCGGGACCUAAGCUGAGGCCGAAAGGCGUAGGUGAUGGACAACAGGUUGAUAUUCCUGUACUACCGAUAACCGUUUGAGAGA